rnacentral:rRNA from 1 species
UUAGAAAACAGGUGCUGCACGGCUGUCGUCAGCUCGUGUCGUGAGAUGUUGGGUUAAGUCCCGCAACGAGCGCAACCCUCGUUCUUAGUUACUAACGGUUCGGCCGAGGACUCUAAGAAGACUGCCUUCGCAAGGAGGAGGAAGGUGAGGACGACGUCAAGUCAUCAUGGCCCUUACGGCCAGGGCAACACACGUGCUACAAUGGGUAGGACAAUGAGACGCGAUACCGCGAGGUGGAGCAAAUCUAUAAACCUACUCUCAGUUCGGAUUGUAGUCUGCAACUCGACUACAUGAAGCUGGAAUCACUAGUAAUCGUAGAUCAGCUAUGCUACGG